ACGAACGCUGGCGGCGCGCCUAACACAUGCAAGUCGAACGGAGCUGAGAGAAGCUUGCUUUUCUUAGCUUAGUGGCGAACGGGUGAGUAACGCGUGAGUAACCUGCCCUGGAGUGGGGGACAACAGUUGGAAACGACUGCUAAUACCGCAUAAGCCCACGAUCCGGCAUCGGAUUGAGGGAAAAGGAUUUAUUCGCUUCAGGAUGGACUCGCGUCCAAUUAGCUGGUUGGUGAGGUAACGGCCCACCAAGGCGACGAUUGGUAGCCGGACUGAGAGGUUGAACGGCCACAUUGGGACUGAGACACGGCCCAGACUCCUACGGGAGGCAGCAGUGGGGGAUAUUGCACAAUGGGGGAAACCCUGAUGCAGCGACGCCGCGUGGAGGAAGAAGGUUUUCGGAUUGUAAACUCCUGUCGUUAGGGACGAUAAUGACGGUACCUAACAAGAAAGCACCGGCUAACUACGUG
rnacentral:rRNA from 1 species